UACAGAGGUGCCGAGCGUUAGGCGGAAUCACUGGGCUUAAAGCGUGUGUAGGCGGACGUCUAAGUACCUUGUGAAAUCCCACGGCUCACCCGUGGAACUGCUGGGUAUACUGGGCGUCUUGAGCCACCUAGGGGCCAGCGGAACAAAUGGUGGAGCGGUGAAAUGCGUAGAUAUCGGAAGGAACACCUGUGGCGAAAGCGGCUCACUGGACCAUUACUGACGCUGAUGCACGAAAGCUAGGGGAGCAAACAGG
rnacentral:rRNA from 1 species